rnacentral:rRNA from 1 species
GACGAACGCUGGCGGCGUGCUUAACACAUGCAAGUCGAACGGAAAGGCCCUGCCUUUGUCGGCUGCUCGAGUGGCGAACGGGUGAGUAACACGUGAGUAACCUGCCCUUGACCUUGGGAUAACUUUUGGAAACUAGGGCUAAUACCGCAUAGGAGCUCUUGUUGCAUGGUGGGGGAUGGAAAGUUUCAGUGGUUGCGGAUGGACGUGCGGCUUAUUAGCUUUAUGGUGGGGUAGUGGCUUCCCAAGGCCUAGACGGGUAGCCGGCCUGGGAGUGUGACCGGGCACAGUGGGACUGGGGAGCGAGCCAGAGUCCUACUGGAGGAAGCGGCGGAAAAUAGUGCACGAUGGGCGGAGGGCGGGUGCAGCGUCGCCGGGUCCGGGAUGACGGCCGUCGGGUUAUAAACAGCGUGAGCCUGUAAAGUAGAGUGUGUGACGGUAAUGGAUAAGAAAGCAACGGCUAACUACGUG